rnacentral:rRNA from 1 species
UACGGAGGAUGCGAGCGUUAUCCGGAUUUAUUGGGUUUAAAGGGUGCGUAGGCGGCUUUUUAAGUCAGCGGUGAAAUUUUGCAGCUUAACUGUAACAGUGCCGUUGAUACUGGGAAGCUAGGAUUUGGUUGCUGUGGGUGGAAUGUGUGGUGUAGCGGUGAAAUGCUUAGAGAUCACACAGAAUAUCGAUUGCGAAGGCAGCUCACAAAGCCAAGAUUGACGCUGAGGCUCGAAAGCGUGGGGAGCAAACAGGAUUAGA